ACAGUAUUUUAGAAAGUCAAAGUGAUUCUUAAAGCAAAAUUAAACCUGAUACAGCACAGAGCCCUCUUAACUGUAGGAAGAAGUUUUAACAAAAUGGCAAUUCAGAGCCACAUCCAUCAUUUAAUAUUUAAAAACCUUUUUUAACAAAACGUUAUCCUUAUUCCUUACACAAACCGGUACUACUCUCUGUGAAUAAACCAACACACAAUUUGUCAUAUUUACUUUGUGUAUUUAAAACCUUCCCAGGCUGUAAUACAGAUCAACUCAGCAGGAUGUGCUUUAUAUUACAGUGUUGACCUGACAUUAAUGUUCAGCAGGGGACUUUCAAUAUAAACAUUUGCCAUAUAGAUCUAAAUCAUUUCAAUUCUAAAAUGAGAAAUCCAGACCUGCUGCCCUUAUGUCAACAAGAGAUGUUAAUCUGACUUAAAUACAUCAACCACAUAGUAAUCUGACACACUGUUGUUGUCCCUCUGUGUGCUUUCAAAACAUAUCAACAACACUGCCCAUAUAAUCAAUCAAUGAAAAGCUACCAGGAACCAGUUUAUGCUAAUUUAGUUAACAUAAGUACUUACUUAAAACUGUAAUAACCUAAAACAAUUCACAGAUGUAUGUCGUUACAAAAUCAGGUGAUAAAAAAUGCUUCAAUUACUUGAAUUAGAGUAUUUCUAUUUAAGUUAAAAUUAUCUUAACAGUAGUAAAAACAACAAGGUAGUUUUAUCUUUACGGAAAAUUAAGGCAGUAACACGAUCCCUAAAGGAAACAUAAGUUACUGCACAUUGACUACAGCUGAUUCAUCAACAAUCACAAUUGAUCAAUCUAACGUUACGUUAACCUGUUACACUGCUUGCUAGCUAAUAGCGUGGCAACAUAUUUGAAUAACAAAGCGACGAUCUUCGUUUAUUCUGUAUACAAAUACCUCCACACCUAGUGCUCCUAAACCGAAAGUAAAGCAUUGUCUGGACCAAACGUCUUUACUGUCUUAAAGUAAAACAAAAAAGCCCCAAACACAGGCAAAAUCCUACUUCAUAGCUAAAACAAACAAAAACUAAAACGUGUGCAUCGAGCUUGACUCGUUAAUGAGAAUAUCUGGCCUUUUGUACAAACAUAACAUUUGAACAUUUUGAUCGAGUAUUAAUCUUUUAAUAUCGAUACGAUUAUACUGGACUGAGAAAUUAAGUGAACGUUCACUAAACAGAUUUGAUUGUUUAAACAACAAUAUUAUAUAGCACUUUUCUAAUCUACAAACACAGGAAGUAGUUCGUGUUUAGUGCACGCUGCUGAAUUAUUUACAUUGAGACGCGUGACACAGUAGCGCGUGUAUAUUUCAUUCGCUGCUUUAUAACAACGUCGGUUAGUUGAAUAAACACAUCGACUGGACGUUUUCUUUUGAGUAAACUUAAAAAUAACGCGAAGCGUGCACGUGAACACACGCCGAUUGGACAAAAGACACACAUUUAAACGUGAAAGUGAAUGGGAACUGAAGCUAACACUUUGCCUGACAUCUCCAUCUUCAAGUCAUAAAGGUUUGAUGCUCCUCCUCUUGAAAGUUGUCCAUGCUGAAGCCACAGAGCAGAGGGCGCUGUGCCGUGCAGAAGAGAAACAUGCCUUGACUUGUACCGGCUUGUCUGAAGAGAGUUGAAACUUGUGGUCAACAUCAACCGUGUGUCCUUUAUCGCCCAUCUGACUUGUGAACGAAGAGGACAGUUUAGUACUGACCGUAUCAGCCGGAGACUUGUUGUUGCUGUUGGUAGACUAAAUAAAUUGACAAACGUCCAACACAAAGUUUCCUCUGAUCUGGAUGACUGGGAGAUCCCUGACCUCACCACAUAUGAUCGGCCGUGUGAUGGCAUGACCCCUGAGACAAAAGAAACGUAUCCAGAUGUCACGGCGACAACACCAAAUGUAACCAAUAAGGAGAUCCUUUCACCUAAGGAAACAGAAAGCAGAACUAGGAUUUAUUCUGUAAGGGGAAAUCGACAGCCCAGCUGUUAUAUAAAGACUACGGAGAUUCAAUGGACAGAGUAUCCAUGCCCUGCAGGAGACGGGAGAGUCAUAUCUAAAAAGCCCCUAGAGAUUUGGACCGAGGUCGAAAGAUGCUGUAAUGAUGGAAGGAGGGCAAUGCUGUGAGUGGUUCUUUGGCAGUGUCUUAGCUGGUUGUUGUGUGGAGUGAGAACGAAGCAAUCAGCAAGUAUACUGCCGCAGAAACUCGUCACCUUGGGAGGCCCAUCCAUCCGACCCCACUCAUGCUUUCAGCCACCCACCCGUGAGCUCAAGCUGCGGAGAUGCAGACAGGCAGAGAAAGAAGAAACCUCGAGCUCUCCUCUAAGCACACAUCUUCAUUCAUAGCAUCUACAGUAAUUCCUCAGCUGACUGAUCUCGUAAAUACAGCAACAGAUUGAUGGUUAUACAAUAUGUUUGUGUUUUUGAAGUAUUCUUUCUGUUUUUGUUCCCAUAGUUUAAGAUCAUUUCAUGAGAAGUGCAGUACUUGUUUUCUUCCUUUUUUGUUGUUCCAUGUUGAUCAGGGGGGGUUUAGUCAUCUGUUGUUUUGAGAAUCAACUGACUAGAUUCGCAGUUUCGGUGUUACUACGGCGUGCUGUGUCCUGUUUGUUUUUUGGCCUAUAUUUAGCUUAUCGUCUGAUGACAUAUUCAGCUUGUGUUCUGAUGAGUUCAUCAUUAAGUCUGCUAAUGGAGCAAAACAUAUAUUAUUAUCAUGACGGCAAAAAUAGCAGCUUACAAAGUACUCUGCCUUCUGGUUUGAUAAUAUGUUUGUAAAAUAUUUAUUUAUUUAUUUAAUACACAUUUCAGGAUUUGUGUUAUAGCAUUUAUCUAUGUGUGUCUCUUGUCCAAACAAUAAAAAUAAAUAAAAAAUAAUUAGUGGUUAUUAUUAUUAUUAUUGGAUUUUUUGAUAUAUGCGUCACAUUAUAUU